rnacentral:rRNA from 1 species
UCGAGGGGUAACGGGGAAGCUUGCUUCCGCCGACGACCGGCGCACGGGUGCGUAACGCGUAUACAAUCUACCUUGUACUGGGGUAUAGCCUUUAGAAAUGAAGAUUAAUCCCCCAUAGUCUCUUAGAGUGGCAUCACUUCUAGAGUAAAGGUUACGGUAUAAGAUGAGUAUGCGUUCUAUUAGUUUGUUGGUGUGGUAACGGCACACCAAGACUACGAUAGAUAGGGGCCCUGAGAGGGGGAUCCCCCACACUGGUACUGAGACACGGACCAGACUCCUACGGGAGGCAGCAGUGAGGAAUAUUGGACAAUGGAGGCAACUCUGAUCCAGCCAUGCCGCGUGCAGGAAGACUGCCCUAUGGGUUGUAAACUGCUUUUAUACAGGAAGAAACACCUCUACGUGUAGAGGCUUGACGGUACCGUAAGAAUAAGGAUCGGCUAACUCCGUGCCAGCAGCCGCGGUAAUACGGAGGAUCCAAGCGUUAUCCGGAAUCAUUGGGUUUAAAGGGUCCGUAGGUGGAUAAUUAAGUCAGAGGUGAAAUCUUGCAGCUCAACUGUAAAAUUGCCUUUGAAACUGGUUGUCUUGAGUUAUUAUGAAGUAGUUAGAAUAUGUAGUGUAGCGGUGAAAUGCAUAGAUAUUACAUAGAAUACCAAUUGCGAAGGCAGAUUACUAAUAAUCAACUGACACUGAUGGACGAAAGCGUGGGUAGCGAACAGGAUUAGAUACCCUGGUAGUCCACGCCGUAAACGAUGGUUACUAGCUGUUUGGACUUCGGUCUGAGUGGCUAAGCGAAAGUGAUAAGUAACCCACCUGGGGAGUACGUUCGCAAGAAUGAAACUCAAGGA